AUGAAGAGCGCUGGAAAUCCGACCCUUUGUCGAACAAAGUGGAGAAAAGUAGCCUAUGGGGGCAUGCAGCCUGGCUACGAUGAUAACUACACCGACGACUCCUUCCUGGAGGAGAUGGUCAUGAACGCCAAUGUCGUCAAGAGGGACUUCCUGAGGGUGAUGGUCGACUCUGUCUCCAUCUCCCAGUAUCUCUGCAUCGUCGCCCUUGUGGUUUCGACAUGGACACAUACACUGAAUUUGGCCAUCGACGAGAUCACUCUCCUGAAAUUCGACAUUGGUCUGCUGCUUGUUGGGUUCUUGGUCCUCCUGCUCACCACCAGCCCAUUCUCGCUGAAUCUACUCUUGAAGUAUGUCCUCAACAUAUCAUUCUUCACCAGUGGCCUUUAUGUUCUAGCGCCAAUUUGCCAUACCCUCACUAGGUCCAUCAGUUCAGAUUCAAUCUGGGCACUUGCUGUGUUCCUUCUGCUGGUUCAUCUCUUCUUGCAUGACUACUCUGGCUCCACUAUAAGGCCUCCAGGUGCACUCAACAACCCAAAGCUGACCAGCAACAUCUCCUUGAACGCGUCGAUAGUGGCGUCUGUGCUUGUGGCGUCGCGCCUGCCGUCUUGGCUGCACGUCUUUGCAAUCAUGCUCUUCUCAUUGCAGGUCUUCCUGUUUGCGCCGCUGGUCACAUUUUGUAUCAAGAAGUACUCCUGUAGACUCCAUUUGAUAUUCUCCUUUGCUCUCAUGGUCAUGACCCUGGGUGUCACGUACCAGCUGCAUCGAAUGCUCUUCAUUUUACUGCUGGCUCUGGUCGUUUUCAUCUCGCUUGUUUGCCCCUACUGGCUUAUCAGGAUUCAGGAGUACAAGUUUGAGAUCAAUGGCCCCUGGGAUGAAGCUAAACUCUGCUUUGAUAUAACUGAAUGA
rnacentral:rRNA from 1 species